GACGAACGCUGGCGGCGUGCUUAACACAUGCAAGUCGAACGGUGAAGCCCGGCUUUUGUGGGGUUCUCGAGUGGCGAACGGGUGAGUGUCACGUGUGUGACCUGCGCUUUACUUUGGGGUACCUUCAGUGAACUGGAGCUAAUAUCGGGUAUGAGCUCCUUCUACAUGAGUUGUAUGGUUGAAUGUCGGAGUUUGGGGAUGGACACGCGACUUAUCAGCUUGUUGGUGAGGUAGUGGCGUACAACGGCAUUGAGGGGUAGCCGGACUGAGAGGGUGACCGGCCACAAUGGGACUGAGGUACGGCCCAGACUGAUACGGGAGGCAGAAGUGGGGAAUAUUGCAAGAUGGGCGGCAGCAUGAUGCAGCAACGCCGGGUGCGGGAUGACGACCUUCGGGUUGUAAACCGGUUUCGCGUGUGAAGAAGAGUGAGUGACGGUAAUGGGUAAAGAAGCAACGGCUAACUACGUG
rnacentral:rRNA from 1 species